UACGUAGGGAGCGAGCGUUGUCCGGAAUCAUUGGGCGUAAAGAGCUCGUAGGCGGCUCGUUGCGUCGGCUGUGAAAACCCGCAGCUCAACUGUGGGCUUGCAGCCGAUACGGGCGGGCUGGAGUUCGGUAGGGGAGACUGGAAUUCCUGGUGUAGCGGUGAAAUGCGCAGAUAUCAGGAGGAACACCGGUGGCGAAGGCGGGUCUCUGGGCCGGUACUGACGCUGAGACGCGAAAGCGUGGGGAGCGAACAGG
rnacentral:rRNA from 1 species